rnacentral:rRNA from 1 species
CCUACGGGUGGCAGCAGUGGGGAAUAUUGGGCAAUGGGCGCAAGCCUGACCCAGCAACGCCGCGUGAAGGAAGAAGGCUUUCGGGUUGUAAACUUCUUUUCUCAGGGACGAAGCAAGUGACGGUACCUGAGGAAUCAGCCACGGCUAACUACGUGCCAGCAACCGCGGUAAUACGUAGGUGGCAAGCGUUAUCCGGAUAUACUGGGUGUAAAGGACGUGUAGGCGGGGACGCAAGUCAGAUGUGAAAACCACGGGCUCAACCUGUGGCGUGCAUUUGAAACUGUGUUUCUUGAGUAUUGGAGAGGCAGACGGAAUUCCAAGUGUAGCGGUGAAAUGCGUAGAUAUUAGGAGGAACACCAGUGGCGAAGGCGGUCUGCUGGACAGAAACUGACGCUGAGGCGCGAAAGCGUGGGGAGCAAACAGGAUUAGAUACCCUGGUAGUC